rnacentral:lncRNA from 1 species
ACUAAAUUAAAAUGGCGGACGCAUCAAGAGUGAAGAGUGGAGCUUUAUAAAACCAUUCAACAAUUGUCUUUUAAAAAACAACCAAAUAAAUAUUUUGAAAAACAACUACUGGAAGAUAUCUCCUGAUUCAGAUUUAUGAGCAAGACAAUCGUGCUUCAAUGGUCAAAGUAGCUCUUCUGAGUGUGUUUCAUCAGCGACAUCAACGCCAUGUGGGUCAACAUCACUGAAUGAAACUGCUUCAAUACGAAAGCUUACAAGUGAAGAUAUAGAUAGAAGAGAGGAUUUUGAUGGCGAGUAUGGUUAUCGAAUGAUUGAACUUUCAAACCUAGCAAGUGCAUUUCAGUCCUUGCAUAAUUGGGAAUUAGGUGGAAAGUUGAAAGUUACCAAUGAUGAGUCUCGUAGAUAUGGAAAUAGCAAAGUCAUUGUUGAGUCAGAUGUUGCAGAGAUUGCUGUGAGUUAUGAUGGCACAUGGGCUAAGCAAGGGUUCACUGCAAACUUUGGAAUUGAUUUUGUUAUUUCUGUUGACACUGGUGAGGUUCUUGACUAUGGUUUUGGAUCCAAAUUAUCGAAGUUUGACAUGGGUCCCAUUUUUAUUAAAAUCGGUCAAGUAUUCGCACAGGAAUCGCAAAUUAAAAUCAGCAAACCACUUUGAAUUAUCACCGGAGUUUAUCGGCAUUAUCAUACCAUGUGAUCUUCUACGAUUGUCAGCAAGAUUGAAGAUUGUUCGAAGAAGAAGGAGUUCGCCGUUGACUAAAACGUUUAUCUGAACAGCCAGUUGUCAAAAGAUGAAGUAGAAAUAUUUUCUUAAAGCUGUGACAGUUUAAUAUCAGUUCAACUGAUUCAGUUGGGGAACUUGUGGAGGUGAAUUUCAAAAUAGCGAUGCCACAGAGAUGAUGCCAUGUGGACCUUGUGGCUUUCACCUUUGUGGGCAAGCUGGUCGUGCUGUGUGUUCAAACAUGAAGAUGAAGCCGAUUUCGAGGGAAUCUUUCAACGUGCUAGCCAGUAAAGAUUUGUGUUGGAUAUGUUCCUGUUUCUUCAGAAGCCAAGGCUUCCUAGUGGCCACGUUGCAUUUUGAGGUAUAUACUUUGAUGAUUGGAAUUUACCCUCUUCGAUAGCCAAGGUGAGAAAGAUCAUUGUUAAGUUUUAUCUGACUCCAGGAUGUAUUUGAUAUGUUAUGCUGAUAUAGACAGAGCCACAGCAUCGGCAUUGCAAAUCCUACUAUCACAUUUGUUAGGAGAUGCUGGCAGUCCUAAUAUUGUGGGUUUGGCAUUUCUUUCUUCAUCAUUCAUGGUAACCGACUGAAUACAAAUUUAAACAAUUCAAACAAACUGCAUUGCUGACUUUUUUGUCCCUGGAAGAAGAACACAAAUGUUGGCUUUGUUUUCUUUUGAAAUCCCUGUUGGCAGUGGUCUCUCAAGAUGUUGUUGGUUCAAAAGUAUCUUCUGCAUUUAGUGGUGACAAUUAUUUUAUAAUAGAGAAAACACAGGGGGCAAAUUGAAAAGACUCAGGGUGAUAUCGUUGCAGACAAGGAUGUUAUCAUUCGUCGUUCAUGGUUGAAUGAUGUGAAACAUAUGUUAUGCUGAUACAGACAGAGCCACAGCAUGGGCUUGCAAAUCUUGCUAUCAUAUUUGUUAGGAGAUGCUGGCAGCCUUAUAUUGUGGGUUUGGUAUGUAAUAUAUAAUUUGUUGUGCCUAAUAAAGCUAU